ensembl:lncRNA JUN-DT JUN divergent transcript
UAACAAUGAACAGAACAAAGGGGUGUGUGAUCCAGUCCUUGCUCUGUUCACUGAGCUCUGCCCAGCGGCUGGUUGCUUUCACACGAGGAAAACCUUUUUUUCUGCUCUCUUGGCACAAAUUGCUGGAGCUGAAUGUACCAGGGUGGGUGAAGGGGAGGAUGAGGUCAGAGAGGUAACAGGGCCAGGCAAGCCAUUGUCAGGAUUUUGGAUUUUACUGUGUACGGAAUGUGUUUGCCAGAACAAUGCGGGAGUUGCAGAGAGAGGUGUCCUGUGUUUGUUCCCAGUCUUCCUUCACUCACCUGCACCUGCUCCUGCCCUGCUUCGGCCAACAUGUUCUAUGCAGGUAGGUAAAAAAGUUGGAAAUUUCAUUUCUCUCCCUGUGUCUCUAAGAUGACAUCUAUCAAACCUCUGAUUCUCUUUUGGUUCUUUACAGAAACCCCACUUGAAAUUUUCAGGUAGGAUGGGGAGAAGGGCAAACCUAUUGUUUCCUUCAAACCUAGUAAUAUCUAACUGAACCCUCUCUAUCGGCAGGGUGGUUUUGCUGAUGAGACAGCUGCAGUUUGGGGAGUGUGAUAUCAAGGAAAGCAGUGUCUUGAGUCUGUCACUUUCUCUCUCUGUCCCAUUGGCUGCUCACUGAUGUCACUUAGAGGAAGGCAGGGGCACAAGAUGGGAGGACCCAGAGCUCCGGGUUCUUAAUGAAUUUUUGCCACCUUCAAUGAGAAAGACUGAAACAAAAAACUCAGAAGAAAGAAAGAGACUGAGAUAGCAAAUAUGACAAACUGUUAAAAAUUCAUGAAUCUGUUAUGGAAUACUAUGCAGCCAUAAAAAAGGAUGAGUUCCUGUCCUUUGCAAGGACGUGUAUGAAGCUGGAAACCAUCAUUCUGAGCAAACUAAAACAGGAACAGAAAACCAAACACCACAUGUUCUCACUCAUAAGUGGGAGUUGAACAAUGAGAACACAUGGACACGGCGGGGUGGUGGGAACAUCACACACCGGGGCCUGUCAGAGGGGAGGGGGCUAGGGGAGAGAUAGCAUUAGGAGAAAUACCUAAUGUAGAUGAUGGGUUGAUGGGUGCAGCAAACCACCAUGGCAUGUGUAUACCUAUGUAACAAACCUGCAUGUUCUGCACAUGUAUCCCAGAACUUAAAGUAUAAUAAUAAAAAGAGAGAUUAAAAAAAUUGGUGAAUCUGGGCAAAAUGUACACAGGAUUUUUCUGUACUGUUCUUGCAACUUUUCUACAGAUUUGAAAUGUUACAAAAUAAAAGGUAUUUUUAGAAAAA